AGUUUUGUUUUUUAUACUUUUCGUUAUUUGUCAGUCUAGUUCUGUUAGAAUUAUAUUGGGUGUGAUCGACUUUAAGCGUCUUACUAUAUUGUUUGAGGAGUUGAUUCAAAGGGAGUGAGCUAAAGCAUAUGUUUUGCGAGCGCCUUUGGAAAAGUCAAGUCCUUUUCUUUCGUUGAAUUGGUGUUACCUGCGCGGAUAAGUAGCCAGCCGACAGUUCUGACACUCCAAAAUAGACUUCAAAACUCAAAAGAAACUGCCUGGUGCACAUAACAAGUUUUCACUACUUGUCACGGUGGCUGAAAUAUUAAGUUUUGUUUAGGAAGCACCUUGAAAAAUCAAAAAUUAUGGAGUAGUGGAACAGAUUGAACAGAUGACAAAUAUUUUCUUAAAUAGUAUGAAAUGCGUUUUCUCAGCACCUUUAAGUCCAACAAAUUUUACGAGCGUUCACCAUUAUCGUAGGCGCUUUUUACAUGGCGGUGGAUAUUGCUCUACCCCUAGACCUUGACCAUUGGACAACCAGAAAAAAGAUUGAAAUAAGAUGUUUUACAAUUAAAAACUUAUUAUUAAGGUUUAUUUCGUUUUAACUUUUCUCGACAUAUUGUUUUGUAGACUUUGG